rnacentral:rRNA from 1 species
UACAGAGGUCUCAAGCGUUAGGCGGAAUCACUGGGCUUAAAGCGUGUGUAGGUGGGUUUGUAAGUACCUUGUGAAAUCCCAUGGCUCAACCAUGGAACUGCUGGGUAUACUGCGAAUCUUGAGCUGUCUAGAGGUUACUGGAACAAACGGUGGAGCGGUGAAAUGCGUAGAUGUCGUUUGGAACGCCAAUGGUGAAAACAGGUAACUGGGGACACGCUGACACUGAGACACGAAAGCCAGGGGAGCAAACGGG